GCCAGGGAGAUUUUGGGGAAAAAAUAUCUUUCAGAUUUUGUGGCCAAAAUUACCAUAGGCAUUGUAUUGAAAUAGAAGAUGAGCCUGCAUACUGUGGAUGCCACAUUCCAAUGCCAUACAAGCUUAAAGAUCAAGCAUUUUAUCAGAGUGAUGAGUGCGUUAAUAAAGUCCUGAAGAAAAUUGACAUACAGAAACUUAUCAAAUCAAUAGAAUGUGGGGAAAAGCCAUCAUUUAGAAUGGAGAUAACCAAGGGCAAAAACUCAGGAAGAAAACAAUGGCUUAUAGAGAAAAAUAAAAGUAUCA